CCGUGCUAAGUGGGGAGGUAGCGGUUCCCUGUACUUGAAAUCCGCUUAUGCAAGACUGAAUUCCUUUGCCGCGGACAUAUUAUUGUGAGGUCUGCCCUCAGCACGUGGUGUCUGAAGACGUCGGUCCUAUGCAAUACAAACCCAUGAAUCAUGUCAGGUCCGGAAGGAAGCAGCAUUAAGUGGAUCAUUGUAUGUGCCGUAGGGUAGCCGAAGUUUAGCUAACGACUGAGGUAACGCUUGUGAUGUUUGUUCAAAGCAAAGGUGCACGG
rfam:Staphylococcus aureus C0673 genomic scaffold aedLz-supercont1.31, whole genome shotgun sequence.